rnacentral:rRNA from 1 species
AUUGAACGCUGGCGGCAGGCCUAACACAUGCAAGUCGAGCGAGCGGCGGACGGGUGAGGAAUGUCUGGGAAACUGCCUGAUGGAGGGGGAUAACUAAAGGAAACGGUAGCUAAUACCGCAUACCAUCAGAUGUGCGCAGAUGUGAUUAGAUAGUGGGUGGGGUAACGGCUCACCUAGGCGACGAUCCCUAGCUGGUCUGAGAGGAUGACCAGCCACACUGGAACUGAGACACGGUCCAGACUCCGACGGGAGGCAGCAGGGUGGAAUAUUGCACAAUGGGCGCAAGCCUGAUGCAGCCAUGCCGCGUGUAUGAAGAAGGCGUUCGGGUUGUAAAGCACUUUCAGCGGGGAGGCGUUACCCGCAGAAGAAGCACCGGCUAACUCCGUGCCAGCCGCCGCGGUAAUUC